CCUACGGGCGGCAGCAGUGAGGAAUAUUGGUCAAUGGACGAGAGUCUGAACCAGCCAAGUAGCGUGAAGGAUGACUGCCCUAUGGGUUGUAAACUUCUUUUAUAUGGGAAUAAAAUGUUCCACGUGUGGGAUUUUGUAUGUACCAUAUGAAUAAGGAUCGGCUAACUCCGUGCCAGCAGCCGCGGUAAUACGGAGGAUCCGAGCGUUAUCCGGAUUUAUUGGGUUUAAAGGGAGCGUAGGUGGAUUGUUAAGUCAGUUGUGAAAGUUUGCGGCUCAACCGUAAAAUUGCUGUUGAAACUGGCAGUCUUGAGUACAGUAGAGGUGGGCGGAAUUCGUGGUGUAGCGGUGAAAUGCUUAGAUAUCACGAAGAACUCCGAUGGCGAAGGCAGUUCACUGGACUGCAACUGACACUGAGGCUCGAAAGUGUGGGUAUCAAACAGGAUUAGAUACCCCUGUAGUC
rnacentral:rRNA from 1 species